GUCCUUUCUCCCUGGGUGCUCCCGGAUGUUUUGGGGUCGCUGAGGGGACUGCGACCCGGAAGUGUUCCCGCACUGGGGACUGCCGCACCUGCCGCCCAUUAGCCCUCACCAGCUGCAGCUGAUGGCUUCAUGAGGGGCGCCUUAUUCAAGAAGGUGGCGGAGCCCCAGUCGGCGCGGGAUUAUACUAAGUCGAACCUGAGUCGGGAGUCAGGAACGUCGUCACGAGGGGAAAUCACAGAGUGGAAUCGGGUUUUUGGAGUUGUCACCUUUUCACUGCUAUGGACACGUGCACUGUGUGGGAUUCUUGGAGGAAUCGCCACAGGAGUCACAGUGCUUGAAUUGUAUAUAGUUGUCGUUUCUGUCCACUCGCCAUAAAUAAAUCCACUGUCCUUCACUUGA